AUUGAACGCUGGCGGCAUGCCUUACACAUGCAAGUCGAACGGCAGCACGGGAGCAAUCCUGGUGGCGAGUGGCGAACGGGUGAGUAAUAUAUCGGAACGUGCCCAGUCGUGGGGGAUAACGUAGCGAAAGCUACGCUAAUACCGCAUACGAUCUAUGGAUGAAAGCGGGGGAUCGUAAGGCCUCGCGCGAUUGGAGCGGCCGAUGUCAGAUUAGGUAGUUGGUGGGGUAAAGGCUCACCAAGCCAACGAUCUGUAGCUGGUCUGAGAGGACGACCAGCCACACUGGGACUGAGACACGGCCCAGACUCCUACGGGAGGCAGCAGUGGGGAAUUUUGGACAAUGGGCGCAAGCCUGAUCCAGCAAUGCCGCGUGCAGGAAGAAGGCCUUCGGGUUGUAAACUGCUUUUGUACGGAACGAAACGGUCCUGGUUAAUACCCGGGGCUAAUGACGGUACCGUAAGAAUAAGCACCGGCUAACUACGUGCCAGCCGCCGCGGUAACAC
rnacentral:rRNA from 1 species